rfam:Myotis davidii contig150468, whole genome shotgun sequence.
GAGACAUCCUUAUGGGGCAGGACUUGCUUCAGUCGGGCUUUGGUGCUCACUGAGUCUGCCCCUUGAGUGUCUCUCU